GUUUUUUGGGCGAUUCCAACAGCUCCACACAUCAUUCUUUAUCCCCAUAAUUCCCAAACACGCUAUAGAAUCCAUCUUUGAAGGAGAAUCAAGCUUUUGGAUGGGAUUUCUUGAAGUUUUGGCUCUUGGAGGGAGAUUUCCACCAUCAACCAUCAUAUUGUUUUCUUUUUCUCUUAUUUUAUUUUCUUUUAUUUUUGUGAGAAACCCUUUUUUGUUGGAUUAUGCUUGGGUUGGAUU
rnacentral:misc_RNA from 1 species